GUGCUGGCUUUGGCAGCACAUACACUCAAAGUGGAACAAUACAGGGACGUUUAAUAUGGCCCCUGCUCAAGGAUGAUAUGCAAAUUUGUGAAGCAUUCCACAUUUUA